GCGAAGGUGGCGGAACUGGCAGACGCGCACGUUUGAGGUGCGUGUGGUUUAUCCUUGGGGGUUCAAAUCCCCUCCUUCGCACUA
rnacentral:tRNA from 5 species